rnacentral:tRNA from 1 species
GGUCCCAUGGAGUAGCGGUUAGCUCGCCUCCCUCUCACGGAGGUCGCACGGGUUCGAAUCCCGUUGGGACUA